AUUAAAGUUGUUGCGGUUAAAAAGCUCGUAGUUGGAUUCCUGUCUUCGGCCGGGCGGUGCCGCCCGAUCAAAGGGCGUCGCACUGCUUUGGGUCGGCGGUGUCAAAGCCGUCGACUUUUAACGGUCGGACAAUACCACCGGAGCGGUCGCGUCGGUCCGUCGGGCCUCAGGGUUCGGCGGUCGCCGGCGCGGCCCGUAAUCGUCCGAGGUGCCCUUAACAAGGUGUCUCGGGCGGCCGGUAACGUUUACUUUGAACAAAUUAGAGUGCUCCAAGCAGGUGCAUACCUUCGCCUGAAUAGUACAGCAUGGAAUGAUGGAAUAGGACCUCGGUCUUAUUUUGUUGGUUUUUCUAGACCCGAGGUAAUGGUUAAUAGAGACGGACGGGGGCAUUCGUACUGCGACGCUAGAGGUGAAAUUCUUGGACCGUCGCAAGACGAACAACUGCGAAAGCAUUUGCCAAGAAUGUUUUCAUUAAUCAAGAACGAAAGUUAGAGGUUCGAAGGCGAUCAGAUACCGCCCUAGUUCUAACCAUAAACGAUGCCAACCAGCGAUCCGCCGAAGUUACUCCCAUGACUCGGCGGGCAGCUUCCGGGAAACCAAAGUCUUUGGGUUCCGGGGGAAGUAUGGUUGCAAAGCUGAAACUUAAAGGAAUUGACGGAAGGGCACCACCAGGAGUGGAGCCUGCGGCUUAAUUUGACUCAACACGGGAAACCUCACCAGGCCCGGACACUGGAAGGAUUGACAGAUUGAGAGCUCUUUCUUGAUUCGGUGGGUGGUGGUGCAUGGCCGUUCUUAGUUGGUGGAGCGAUUUGUCUGGUUAAUUCCGAUAACGAACGAGACUCUAGCCUGCUAAAUAGGUGGCGGGUUUAUCAUUGAAUUUGGGUUCGGUGUUCGUCGGGAUCAGGGCGUCGCGUGCGGGUCGCGUCGGUCCGAAAUCGGGCGCGCGCGCGCGCGCGUGGCGGUCGGGUGGCGAGGCGUUUCGGCGUCGGACUGCUCGGUCGUUGCGUGCGUGCGUGUGAGUUCGGUGGAGGUCGGCGCGGUCCGCGCGCGGGGUUCCCCGGCGGUUCGCACCGUUCUCGCGUCCGUCACAGCUCUUCUUAGAGGGACAAGCGGCGUUUAGCCGCGUGACAGUGAGCAAUAACAGGUCUGUGAUGCCCUUAGAUGUCCUGGGCCGCACGCGCGCUACACUGAAGGAAUCAGCGUGUUUUCUUCCCCCUGUCCGAAAGGACCGGGUAACCGCUGAACCUCCUUCGUGGUUGGGAUUGUGGACUGCAAUGAUCCACAUGAACCAGGAAUCCCUAGUAGGCGCGAGUCACUAGCUCGCGUCGAUUACGUCCCUGCCCUUUGUACACACCGCCCGUCGCUACUACCGAUUGAAUGAUUUAGUGAGGACUUGGGACGGUCGCGUCGGGGGUCUCGUUUUCGGGUUUCGGCUCGGAUUCGGGGCUCUAAUCAACGACGAAGCUGAAACAUGUCCGAACUUGAUCCUUUAGAGGAAGUAAAAGUCGUAACAAGGUUUCCGUAGGUGAACCUGCGGAAG
rnacentral:rRNA from 1 species